GGUCUGGUGCCCGAGAAGCGAGGGAACGGUCUGCAAAACCGUUUUACGUGGGUGCAAGUCCCACCCAGACCU
rnacentral:tRNA from 1 species